GUUUGCGAAAUCUGCAUAUGAAAAACUUGUGCCAGCUCUCUUCCCUUCUAUUUCCUGCUUUAUGCUCUCUUCCUCGCUUGCCUAGCUACCCUGGUGCUCAGGUGCGUCUCUCUAUCCUCUACGCCUUCUUUCUUCGUUAAGAACCUCUUUUUGGCCAUUAAGAAAUAUCAGUGAAGCUAAUUCCCCAAACCUUACCCACCAGAAUUUUAAAAUUUUGAAAAUUUAACACUCAAUGCCUUUGAUUUGGUCUUCAUUUCCUUCGUUUUUCUCAGCAAUCAAACGGAUCAUAUGAUGUAAUCACUAGUGAAUUAUAUCUCACAUCUCUAUCAUUAAGCCUCUGUAAUUUCCAUCUUCUCGAUGGACUGAAUUGUAGCAAGAUUGUAGGCUUGAUCAAUCGAAUUGCAAAUGACUAGAUCUCUCUUCCUAAUUUUGAUUGUCUAGGGCUUGUGGUAUACAUUUUUGAAGUCUAUUUGAUUGGUGGAAAAGUAUGCAAUUUUUUGGAGGAUCAGAUAUCAGUCCAUCGCCACCAGCAACAACAGCGUCAGGGAACAAUGCGCACAUGAUGUAUGUGUUCAAUAGGAAUGGGGUGUGCUUGCUUUACAGGGAGUGGAAUCGCCCACUUCAUACCCUCAAUGCGCAGCAGGACCAUGAGCUUAUAUUUGGUCUUCUUUUUUCUCUCAAGUCACUAACUGCCAGGAUGGAUCCCACGAGGCUUAUUUUCUAUUUUGCAGAGAAAGGAAACCUUGGAAUGCCUCAGUUGCCUGGCCAAGGUUGUUCAUUCCACAGCUUUCGUACAAAUACUUACAAACAUAGUUUCAUGGAAAGGCCUUGUGGGAUAAAGAUUAUUUUGGUUACUCAUCCCUGGACCGGUGAUCUACGUGAAUCCCUAAAGUACAUUCACAACUUGUAUGUUGAAUAUGUUGUCAAAAACCCCCUCUAUACUCCUGGAGCUCCUAUCAGGUAACAAAUGUAUUUUUUUAUCAUUUUGAACUAAAUUAUAGAAGCUGCUUCAUGCAGAAACGUUAGUAUUUUUUUCUCUUAAGACCUCAUUGUGGUGGGGCUUAAACUCAGUAAAUAUAAAAUGUCUUUAUAUCCUAAAACCUGUGAAUGGAUCUUUUCCUCCAAAAACCUGAAAAAAUAACUUUAAAUUUGAUUUGGUUAUUGCGAACCUUGGUUCAGUCUGAUUGGAUUAUUCUCAAUCCAAUCUUCAUGGGCUUGGUUUGAAUAUUUUAUUCAAGCUCAAGCUCAAGCUGGUGCUGAAAUAAUUUAUGAACACUCCUGCUGGCUACCAAUGUAGGCACACCUUAUGAUUUGUUCAGUUAAGUGAAUUAUGAAAAGACACGUUAUUGAUCUAAAUUUGGAUGCUUCUAUGUUUUGUUACUUAAUAUCAAGAUUAACUGUUGACUUAAAUAAUCUUUUAGUUCUCUUGAGGAGUUGAGGUGUUUAACCAGGCAUUGAUGGCUUGUGCCAUGAUAAUUUAUUUGUACACCCUAUUUAAUGAUACUGGAUCAACUACACUAGUCAUUUUCUCAGAAUAAUCAGUUUUUAAAAUGUGAAUCUCAGAAUCUGACUACAACUCUGUUAAUCAAAUAAUAAAGAAAUCAGCAAAAAUUUGUUCCUGGCUUGAGAAACAAAACUGGGCUUGACAAAGAGUAGGAUGUGAUCUGGUAAAAUAUGCUGAAUCUUAUGAUUUCAAGGUUGGUUCAUGUAGUUUAUGACUUUAUGUUGAUGUAUAAGAUUUAGUUGUAGUCGCUAGUAAAUAACGUCAUGUGAGGUGAGUUUUUGGGCCUUUCCUUGCUUCUUUUCUCUUUCCCAGUGCUUGUUGGAUCUGAAGUGAAGUGAAAACCAUUGUUUGUAAAUUGUAUUACUGCUGGAUGUUAUGCAUCUUUAUUAGAUGCAUAUACUUUAGAAGGAAUAUGACUGGGUUCCCUUGGCCACUUGUUCAAGUGGUAAGAUGGUAGAAUAGGGAAAAUUUUAUUGGCAUUUUUUUUCUUGUAGUUCCUUUUGAUCUUUUAUUAAGCUGUUACUUACAUCAGACACUGGCUUUGUUUAAGAUUCCCAAGCUGUAGGCUAAUUUUUUACCUGAUGCACUUGUAUUUGCUUUGUGUAUGUGUGAGUUGUUCAAUACCUCUCUUGAUCAAUAUAUAAGGAGCAUAGCCUAGUUCGCAAGUAGAAUACAGUUGCUGUAAUCUGGCUAUACACUCAAACGAAACGUGAAAAUUUGACCCUGAAGGUCAGUGGACUUGCAUAUUUUGCGGAUACAAUUUUGAAAUGUUAUGGAAUUGCAAUAGUCAAUCCUUUCCCUCUGUGCAACGAUGGAUUUACUUAACAAUAUGCUGUGCCAGCCUAUCCUUUUCUUUUGAGGACUCGAAGACGUAUGGUUCUAUUGUAUAUUCCAUCAUUAGGAUUUAAGAAAUCCCAUUUUUGUAAGAAAACGAGAUUGUGUAUCUAAAAAUGUUGGAGUUCGCAUUAUAGUCAUUCUUCUUAUAACUCCCCACAAGAUACAGAGGCUCCAAUUUUUUUUUCAAUUAUUAUUAAGUAUUUUG
rnacentral:misc_RNA from 1 species